UACAGGGGGGGCAAGCGUUGUUCGGAAUUACUGGGCGUAAAGGGCUCGUAGGUGGCCAACUAAGUCAGACGUGAAAUCCCUCGGCUUAACCGGGGAACUGCGUCUGAUACUGGAUGGCUUGAGUUCGGGAGAGGGAUGCGGAAUUCCAGGUGUAGCGGUGAAAUGCGCAGAUAUCAGGAGGAACACCAGCGGCGAAGGCGGCGCUCUGGGCCGGUACUGACACUGAGGAGCGAAAGCGUGGGUAGCAAACAGG
rnacentral:rRNA from 1 species